UAGUGAGUUUGAUCCUGGCUCAGGACGAACGCUGGCGGCGUGCUUAACACAUGCAAGUCGAGCGGAAAGGCCCUUCGGGGUACUCGAGCGGCGAACGGGUGAGUAACACGUGAGCAACCUGCCCUAGGCUUUGGGAUAACCCCGGGAAACCGGGGCUAAUACCGAAUAUGACUGCUGGACGCAUGUCUGGUGGUGGAAAGUUUUUCGGCCUGGGAUGGGCUCGCGGUCUAUCAGCUUGUUGGUGGGGUGAUGGCCUACCAAGGCGACGACGGGGUAGCCGGCCUGAGAGGGCGACCGGCCACACUGGGACUGAGACACGGCCCAGACUCCUACGGGGAGGCAGCAGUGGGGAAUAUUGCACAAUGGGGCGGAAGCCUGAUGCAGCGACGCCGCGUGAGGGGAUGACGGCCUUCGGGUUGUAAACCUCUUUCAGCAGGGACGAAGCGUAAGUGACGGGUACCUGCAGAGAAGCACGGCCAACUACGUGCCAGCAGCCGCGGUAAUCUGA
rnacentral:rRNA from 1 species